GAUGAACGCUGGCGGCGUGCCCAAUACAUGCAAGUCGAACGCAUAGCGAAAGGUGCUUGCACCUUUCAAGUGAGUGGCGAACGGGUGAGUAACACGUGGACAACCUGCCUCAAGGCUGGGGAUAACAUUUGGAAACAGAUGCUAAUACCGAAUAAAACUUAGUGUCGCAUGACACAAAGUUAAAAGGCGCUUCGGCGUCACCUAGAGAUGGAUCCGCGGUGCAUUAGUUAGUUGGUGGGGUAAAGGCCUACCAAGACAAUGAUGCAUAGCCGAGUUGAGAGACUGAUCGGCCACAUUGGGACUGAGACACGGCCCAAACUCCUACGGGAGGCUGCAGUAGGGAAUCUUCCACAAUGGGCGAAAGCCUGAUGGAGCAACGCCGCGUGUGUGAUGAAGGCUUUCGGGUCGUAAAGCACUGUUGUAUGGGAAGAACAGCUAGAAUAGGAAAUGAUUUUAGCUUGACGGUACCAUACCAGAAAGGGACGGCUAAAUACGUG
rnacentral:rRNA from 1 species